rnacentral:rRNA from 1 species
CCUACGGGUGGCAGCAGUAGGGAAUAUUGCUCAAUGGGGGAAACCCUGAAGCAGCAACGCCGCGUGGAGGAUGAAGGUUUUCUGAUUGUUAACCCCUUUUGUUAGAGAAGAUAAUGACGGUAUCUAACGAAUAAGCACCGGCUAAAUCCGUGCCAGCAGCCGCGGUAAUCCGGAGGGCGCAAGCGUUACUCGGAAUCACGGGGCGUAAAGAGCGCUUAGGCGGGUUAGCAAGUCAGAUGUGAAAUCCUACGGGUUAACCAUAGAAUUGCAUUUGAAACUGGUAGUCUUGAGUAUGGGAGAGGUAGGUGGAAUUCGUGGUGUAGGGGUAAAAUCCGUAGAGAUCAAGAAGAACACUCAUUGCGAAGGCGACCUGCUGGAACAUAACUGACGCUGAUGCGCGAAAGCGUGGGGAGCAAACAGGAUUAGAUACCCUAGUAGUC